rnacentral:rRNA from 1 species
UACGUAGGGUCCGAGCGUUGUCCGGAAUUAUUGGGCGUAAAGAGCUCGUAGGCGGUUUGUCGCGUCUGCUGUGAAAACCUAAGGCUCAACCUUGGGCUUGCAGUGGGUACGGGCAGACUAGAGUGCGGUAGGGGUGACUGGAAUUCCUGGUGUAGCGGUGAAAUGCGCAGAUAUCAGGAGGAACACCGGUGGCGAAGGCGGGUCUCUGGGACA